GCUGGGCAUGGUGGCCCACGCCUGCAAUCCCAGCUACUCAGGAGGCUGAGGCAGGAGAAUCACUUGAACCCAGGAGGCGGAGGUUGCAGUGAGCUGAGAUCAAGCCACCGCAUUCCAACCUGGGUGACAGAGUGAGAACCUGUCUCAA
rfam:Homo sapiens chromosome 17 genomic contig, GRCh38 reference assembly alternate locus group ALT_REF_LOCI_1.